rnacentral:rRNA from 1 species
AUUGAACGCUGGCGGAAUGCUUUACACAUGCAAGUCGAACGGCAGCACGGGAGCUUGCUCCUGGUGGCGAGUGGCGAACGGGUGAGUAAUGCGUCGGAACGUACCGAGUAAUGGGGGAUAACGCAGCGAAAGCUGUGCUAAUACCGCAUACGCCCUGAGGGGGAAAGUGGGGGAUCGCAAGACCUCACGUUAUUCGAGCGGCCGACGUCUGAUUAGCUAGUUGGUGGGGUAAAGGCCUACCAAGGCGACGAUCAGUAGCGGGUCUGAGAGGAUGAUCCGCCACACUGGAACUGAGACACGGUCCAGACUCCUACGGGAGGCAGCAGUGGGGAAUUUUGGACAAUGGGGGCAACCCUGAUCCAGCCAUUCCGCGUGAGUGAAGAAGGCCUCGGUUGUAAGUACGUCUUUCUAG